AACGAACGCUGGCGGCAGGCUUAACACAUGCAAGUCGGACGCCCCGCAAGGGGAGUGGCAGACGGGUGAGUAACGCGUGGGAACAUACCCUUUUCUACGGAAUAGCUCUGGGAAACUGGAAUUAAUACCGUAUACGCCCUACGGGGGAAAGAUUUAUCGGGGAAGGAUUGGCCCGCGUUGGAUUAGCUAGUUGGUGGGGUAAAGGCCUACCAAGGCGACGAUCCAUAGCUGGUCUGAGAGGAUGAUCAGCCACAUUGGGACUGAGACACGGCCCAAACUCCUACGGGAGGCAGCAGUGGGGAAUAUUGGACAAUGGGCGCAAGCCUGAUCCAGCCAUGCCGCGUGAGUGAUGAAGGCCUUAGGGUUGUAAAGCUCUUUCACCGAUGAAGAUAAUGACGGUAGUCGGAGAAGAAGCCCCGGCUAACUUCGUG
rnacentral:rRNA from 1 species